rnacentral:snRNA from 1 species
AGCUUUGCACAAUGGCAGUAUCAUAGCCAGUGAGGUUUAUCUGUGGUGUGAUUAUUGCUAAUUGAAAACAAAAGACACCAUGAAC